GGAGUCGGCCAGGCAAUCGCGCGUUGCAAUUAUGCAGCUCGAGGAAAGUCCGGGCUCCACAGGACGGGAUGCCAGGUAAUGCCUGGGAGGCGCGAGCCUACGGAAAGUGCCGCAGAAAAUAAACCGCCACGGUUUUUGGUUUUGCCAGGAACUGAGGUAAGGGUGAAAAGGUGUGGUAAGAGCGCACCGCGCUUUUGGUAACAAAAGUGGCAGGGUAAACCCCACUUGGAGCAAGACCAAAUAGGAAUUCUUAUUGUGU
rnacentral:RNase_P_RNA from 1 species